rnacentral:rRNA from 1 species
CCUACGGGAGGCAGCAGUGGGGAAUUUUGGACAAUGGGCGAAAGCCUGAUCCAGCCAUUCCGCGUGCAGGAUGAAGGCCCUCGGGUUGUAAACUGCUUUUGUACAGAACGAAAAGGUUUCUAUUAAUACUAGGAGCUCAUGACGGUACUGUAAGAAUAAGCACCGGCUAACUACGUGCCAGCAGCCGCGGUAAUACGUAGGGUGCAAGCGUUAAUCGGAAUUACUGGGCGUAAAGCGUGCGCAGGCGGUUAUAUAAGUCAGAUGUGAAAUCCCCGGGCUCAACCUGGGAACUGCAUUUGAGACUGUAUAGCUAGAGUACGGUAGAGGGGGAUGGAAUUCCGCGUGUAGCAGUGAAAAUGCGUAGAUAUGCGGAGGAACACCGAUGGCGAAGGCAAUCCCCUGGACCUGUACUGACGCUCAUGCACGAAAGCGUGGGGAGCAAACAGGAUUAGAUACCCUGGUAGUCCACGCCCUAAACGAUGUCAACUGGUUGUUGGGUCUUAAACUGACUCAGUAACGAAGCUAACGCGNGAGUAGACGCCGCGGAGGUAAGGUCGCGAGUUAGUAAGUUACAAAUAAGAAGUUAGUUACGGCGNGAGACGAGCCGAACGGACGACCGACCGAACGGGGAAGGUUAGGAGG